rnacentral:lncRNA from 1 species
CACAGUCAAAAGUCCUGGGAGAGGAAGGAAUUGGGGACUUCACAGAAGGCCCAUGUGAUUAGAACAUCACACCUGCUUACACCUUACUGUGAGAUGAGGUUGCAGGUGUAAGCAGGCACUUAAAGGCUCAAGACACGGUGGUCCACAGAAAGCUGUUCGGAUUUUAUUCAGAACAUAAUGAAAAACUGCUGACAGUUGUGAAGUGGACAGGUGAUAGGAAUAGAUUUAAUUGUGUUUACAAAGACAACUCUGGCUACUACACAGAGAAUGGACUGGGGCAGGCACAGCAGGUUAAGCAUGGAGACACCAGACAAGAAGUAAGUAGCUAGCUAUUCAAUAGGAGAUGAAUAGAAAUGAACAGUUUUUUGUUUUACUUUGUUUUUGGUGAUGAGGAUUGAACCCAGGGUUUCAUGAAUGCAAAGCACAUGCUCUACUGCUGAGGUGCACUCUCAGCCCCAGAGAUAGACAGUUUUGAGACCUAUUUUGGAAAUGAAAUUAACAAAAAAUAUUAAACAAAUUUGGAAGAUUCAGUAAGAAAAAGAAAAAGUCAAAAAUGAUUCUAGUUUUCUUAUUUUAGCAACAAAGCUGAAUCAGAAAAGGUAAGCUUCAAAUAUUGGUUGGAUAUUUCAAUGUCUAUGUCAAUUGGGCUGUUGGAUGUGUGUACCUGGAGAUAAGAGAGACCUGAACUGUAGGUAUACAUUUGGGAGCUAUCAGAAUAAUACAGUAUUGCAUUUAAAACUUGCAAUGAAUGAAAUCAUCUACGAAAAUGAAUAUGUAUGAAUGAAAAGAGGACCCAGGAACAAUCUUGAGAAAUAUUAUCAUUUACAUAUGAUGGUGAGAAAGGAAAGGAGACUGAGGAUGGAAAUUCUCAUAAAGGUGAAGAAAACCAGGUAGAAUGGUGUCACAGAAGUUGAGAAAAGUGUUUCACAGAGUCCACAUGAGCUUGUAUUGUUG